rnacentral:rRNA from 1 species
UACGGGGGGGGGCAAGCGUUGUUCGGAAUUACUGGGCGUAAAGGGCUCGUAGGCGGCCAACUAAGUCAGACGUGAAAUCCCUCGGCUUAACCGGGGAACUGCGUCUGAUACUGGAUGGCUUGAGAUUGGGAGAGGGAUGCGGAAUUCCAGGUGUAGCGGUGAAAUGCGUAGAUAUCUGGAGGAACACCGGUGGCGAAGGCGACAUCCUGGACCAAUACUGACGCUGAGGAGCGAAAGCCAGGGGAGCAAAGCGGG